rnacentral:lncRNA from 1 species
AGGGGGCGGAGGGUCAAUCAAACACCUUGCACAGCUGGGAUAGUCCCAGGGGGACCAUGCUGAGCCCAGGGUUGUGAUCAGAGAUUCGGAUCACAGGUUCUAAGGGACUGUGGAGUUCAGCGACUUGCGUCCAUAAAGCAAAGCCCGGAAAGCACUGCGCUUGCGCAGUGGCUCAAGAGGUAACGCUGAGGAACCGCGGGAUUUCAAUUCAGCCUGCGGCCUCCCGGCUGUCUCUCCAGUCUGGACCUAACGCAGCAGUCCUUCCCUGGGGGAACAAGCAAGAUCUCUUCCAACAACAUGAACUUGAUGAAAGCAGAACUGUAUGGACCUGGUUUGAAGGGCUGAUUUUCCUCCUCUUAGAUGUGACUUUGAGCAAUUAUGUACUUUCUUCCCUCUUCUCCUUCCUCAAUGGUGUAGAGUGAACCCAAGGCAUUUCACAGAUGAGGCCUCAUAACACUGGGCUGUCUUUAGUUAGAAUUUUCUCAGGUAGGUUUAGCCAGACCUUCAUCAUUCCCUGUGGUCUCUCAGUGAUAUUCCAUCUAGUGUUCUCCAUCCUCUCAUUGGCUUCUAAACUCCCAUUAGCCCAUCUUGCCAGACUCUGCUUCCCCAAACA